GACGAACGCUGGCGGCGUGCCUAAUACAUGCAAGUCGAACGCAGGGGGGACGGGUGAGUAACACGUGGGUAACCUCCCAUCAGAGGGGAUAACACUUGGAAACAGGUGCUAAAACGAUACUGAUGGAUGAACCCGCGGUGCAUUAGCUAGUGGGUGGGGUAACGUCUCACCAAGGCCACGAUGCAUAGCCUGCCAGAGAGGGUGAGCGGCCACACUGGAACUCGGACACGGCCCUGACUCCUACGGGUGGCAGCAGUAGUGAAUCUUCGGCAAUGGACGAAAGUCGGACCGAGCAACGCCGCGAGAGUGAAGAAGGUUUUCGGAUCGUAAAACUCUGUUGUUAGAGAAGCGGUAUCUAACCAGAAAGCCACGGCUAACUACGUGCCAGCAGCCACGGUAAUAG
rnacentral:rRNA from 1 species